rnacentral:rRNA from 1 species
CAGAGAUGAUUUCCUUCAGUUCGGCCUGGACAAGUGACAGGGUGCUGCAUGGCUGUUGUCAGCGUCGUGUCGUGAGAUGUUGGGUUAAGUCCCGCAACGAGCGCAACCCUCAUCUUUAGUUGCCAUCAUUCAGUUGGGCACUCUAAAGAAACUGCCGGUGAUAAGCCUGAGGAAGGUGGGGAUGACGUCAAGUCCUCAUGGCCCUUACACGCUGGGCUACACACGUGCUACAAUGGCGGUGACAGUGGGCAGCAACCUCGCGAGGGGUAGCUAAUCUCCAAAAGCCGUCUCAGUUCGGAUUGUUCUCUGCAACUCGAGAGCAUG